GGGAUAAAGCCUUUCAAUGACUUCAAAUGGAGUCUGAAUCCAAAGGGAUGCAAUUUAACUCCAGGAGAGGUCCCCAGCCUGAUCUACUGUCCCAAAUCAUGAAGAACAAAUCAGAUGACUGGACCAAAUAAUCAUAAAUCAGCUGCAAAAUAUAAUUUACGCUCCAAGAGCAGUGAGAGAUUCAUUCACAACAACUCCUACCUGAUUCCAGGUUUUGGGAAUGAAUCUCCCAAUUUUCACAUGGGAAAGGGAUAAUGCAGCAAAGAAGAACCAGAAUCAUAAAGGCCUGGUGUGGAUGCCCCUUGCCCCAGGAGUGUGUAUUGUCUAAUCCUGUUCUCUAAAGAGGGAUAUUCUCUAGUCCUAUUCUCUGCCUGAGGACAGCUGGUUCCCUUUAUGAACCUGCACUUGGAGUGACUUCCAGUGCCCCCCUCCACACUCACAUUGCACCUGUACGUGAUG